GAUACGAUUUGGCCCAUGAAUGCACGACCCAUUUGCCGCUUCCUCUCCUAUGGGCGAUUCAACCUCAUGCCUCGCCUCUGCUCAACCCAAGCCCUGUUCAUCUAGGUUGCCACCGGGAAGAGGUGUGGUGGCGGCCAAGACAAGAACAAUGGGACACUGAAGUCCCUUGGAUGUCCGUGUUUAUCACAGUGACUACUAAUUUCCAUGUCUACUGGGAGGAAGAAAAUUGGCAGGUGAACCUUUGCAACUAUGUCAAUCACUGCUUUGCUUAAACUCAUAAUAUCAUCCCUUUUAAGCUAUCAAAUCAUAAGACAUAGUUUUGCUGUUGAUUUUUUCUAAUUCCCACUUUAUUGCUUCACAUAGACUAUUUAGGGCUUAUUUGAAAUGACCUGCUCUGAUAGUGCAGGAAAACAUCAUAAAUGAAAAGAAGGCAUACCAUGAUUUGGUGGAGAAGACGAAAGGCUUUGUGUGGAAAAUUGGGUUUGAAACUGAAACGUAGAUUAUAAACUACUCUUUUGGCUGCUACUGCUCUAUCCUUCAAACUUCUUUUCUGAAAAAUUGAAAGAUAAAUACAAUAAUGAUGCAUCUCUGCAGAUAAAUUCAAAAUCAGUAUUGUUCAGGGUCCAAAUUCUUGAUUGAACUUAUGGUCAGUUUCAAAUAUUAGUUCAUGAUACACUUGCCAAAGAUAAGUAAUAACCUAUUUGAGCAAAUUGGAAACACAUUCGGAUCAGUAGUAGUAGAAAUUCUCAAGGUCAUUGGGAUAUUAAACUGCAUGUAUUGAUGCAUGUGUUUUUUUUUCAACUCAACCUUGCUCUUCCUGAUUUUGGAACCGUCGACACACACUGCACACUCAUAGGCUCAUGGCAUUCUCACAGAAAAAGACCAAAAAGUUGUGUAGAAUGUCUUCAGGAGAUAACGCAUAUUUGUUCACUGUUCAUGUCGAUCCAUCCUAUUAUUUUAUCCCCGUAGCCCGUAGGCAUACUACUCAUUUCCCCUUAAUUUGUUCCGACUUUUGUGUUUGCUAUAUGCAGCUAGCUUCGGCAGGUUUGUUAGGCUGUAUAAGGUAGGGAGCUUUGCUACAUAAUAAUACACAGAUGAUACUGUAGGAUGUUUUGCAAUUAGCAAGGUACUUUGUUUAUGAGCCGAUUGUCAACUUUCUUAAAAAGAUACAUGGUUGUUGUAUCCUAUGAGAGUAUAAAACUUUUGUCAUGAUAUUUCCUCGUGCAGUUUCAAGGUCACACGGAUGCUCUUUUUUUUUCCGAUAAAAGGGCCACAUGGCCCCCAUUUUCAUUAAGAAAAUAGAAGUCUAGAUACAACCACCACACCACUUUUUUCCAUCAGACCUGAUGCAUCACCUCAUCAACUGAUAAGCAACCUACAUCCUAGACAUAUAACCAUAUCUAUAGGAUGCCAAAUCACCCACUACCGGAGAGAGAACAGACUUUUAAACAUCUUUUACAAAUUGCACAUCAGCCAAAACAAUAGGCAAGUCUAAAACCAGAACAUACUACAGAACCGCCCACUUUCAGGUAGAAGGUCACACGGAUGCUGAUAGCUCUCAGGUGUAUGUGAUAUUUGUUGCUGGGUAUUGUUGCCGUUCUUCCUGUUAUGUCAAUGCAUAUUGCUUCAGUUUCCGUAUUGAGAUUGAUAUGGAACUGUCUGAUCUUCCAGUGUGAACAUUAUAUAUUUUCUCUCUCCAAAUCCAAUGAACAUUCCUGUAAAAACAGUGGCCACUUGCAUCACCGGGCUAAAUUAUCAUGAAUAAAAGUGAAUUGCCAUAUCGAUAGAUGCGAGCAACAAGGCGCCCGUCUCCGCUCUGGGUAGCCGCUGAUGCUGUAUACGCUGCCAAAAUCCGCAGCCUGAGACCUCUUCAUCACGUCCCGUGGGCAUGACCACAUGAGAUUCACCGUCCAUUGUGUCGCGCGGGCGUCGUCACACAACCGUCAUCAACCUGAUCCCUUCAGUGUGUGACUGGUCCCACUCGACAGGGGUUGCUGCGGCUCAACAUGUCCCGACACCGCUGUCUGAUUCAUCACUUUGCUGUCUCUAUCGUGUGAGAGUUUGAUUCAUCACUUUGCUGUCUCUAUCGUGUGAGAGUUUACUAAAGACUUAUUCGUUCAUUUCCUCUCUCCAUAGAUAUUUCAAUUGACACAAUGCGAUCUGCUCCUCUUCUGCAAACUGGUCACCAACCCCUAAGUGGUGAUUCAUUUUUAGGAAUUACGGUGUUGUUAAUAGUCGAUAGAUCAAAAGUACAUAAGACAUCCUGAAUGUUGCGUCCUUUCUAUCAA